GAGUUUGAUCGUGGCUCAGGAUGAACGCUGGCGGCGUGCCUAAUACAUGCAAGUCGAACGAACAGAUAAGGAGCUUGCUCCUUUGACGUUAGCGGCGGACGGGUGAGUAACACGUGGGUAACCUACCUAUAAGACUGGAAUAACUCCGGGAAACCGGGGCUAAUGCCGGAUAACAUGUUGAACCGCAUGGUUCUACAGUGAAAGACGGUCUUGCUGUCACUUAUAGAUGGACCCGCGCCGUAUUAGCUAGUUGGUGGGUAACGGCCUACCAAGGCGACGAUACGUAGCCGACCUGAGAGGGUGAUCGGCCACACUGGAACUGAGACACGGUCCAGACUCCUACGGAGGCAGCAGUAGGGAAUCUUCCGCAAUGGGCGAAAGCCUGACGGAGCAACGCCGCGUGAGUGAUGAAGGUCUUCGGAUCGUAAAGCUCUGUUGUUAGGGAAGAACAAAUAGUGUAAGUAACUGUGCAUAUCUUG
rnacentral:rRNA from 1 species